rnacentral:rRNA from 1 species
CUACGGAGGGUGCAAGCGUUACUCGGAAUCACUGGGCGUAAAGCGCGCGCAGGCGGUCUUUUAAGUUGGAUGUGAAAGCCUACGGCUCAACCGUAGAACUGCAUCCAAAACUAUUAGACUAGAGUGUGGGAGAGGAAGAUGGAAUUAGUUGUGUAGGGGUAAAAUCCGUAGAGAUAACUAGGAAUACCAAAAGCGAAGGCAAUCUUCUGGAACACUACUGACGCUGAGGCGCGAAAGCGUGGGGAGCAAACAGGAUUAGAUACCCGAGUAGUCC